UAAUUGGGUCAUAGUGCUUGACGGCUUGCAAUAUUUAACUUACUCAUCCGCCUUAUCAUCACAUUUUUUGUAUUAUAUUCCAGAAUUUUUGAAAAAGACAUUAUUUAUCGGAUAAAUUUUGUAGUUUAUAAUUGCAAAGUGGAUAUUGAAAUAGAAUUAGCCAGAGAUGUAGAUAAUCUAUUCGUCUCUGAAUUAGCCGAUAAUUAGGUUAAAUGAAUCCGACAACUUCCGGUAUAUUUUUCGACCUACUUCACGAGCAUAAUUAUCAGCCUGUUAAGCUCAUAAGGGAAAUAAAAGAUUAUUUACUUUAAUAUUCACUUGGAAAGGCUGGUACAUGUAGCUAGAAAAAAGUACAGUAUAGAAUUAAAGAAAGACUAGAAGAUUAUUACAAACAACAGGUGGACAUGUGUCACUGUCAAGCGAAUGAAGAUAAGCAUCACACUCGGUGGGAAUCUCCAGUUUCCAGAUGUAGUGAUCAUAACUGUGUAGGCACCAUUAACACUUUGGACUAGUUGGAGUAUUUUAGAGGGCUAGUCUGAAUUGAAUCCCCUGUCAAUAGUAAAGGCCAGUCAUGAACAUUGUGUUGAAGGAAAAUGUUAAAACUCGGAUUUUCCGCUUAACCAAUCAUUACUUUAC